AUGCAGAGUACAGUGUUCUUGCGGGCGUCGGUGAGCCAUCUUUGUCCCCCUUUCAAUAAGUAUCCCAGGUACAUUACCUCAGACUUGCAAAUUUGGGCCUUUUUCUCUGAGGCCUGGAGGAGGUUUUCAGUUCCUUGUAGGCAGGCCUGUUGGGAAUCUGAAGCUAUUAAGAGAUCAUCUACAUAUUGCAAGAGUGUUAUAUCCGGGUUUUGCUUUCUAUAUUCACUUAAAUCCUCAUGGAGGGCCUCAUCAAACAGGGUGGGCGAGUUUUUGAACCCUUGUGGGAGGCAAGUCCAUGUCAACUGUCCACUUAUACCUCUCUCAGUGUCUGUCCAUUCAAAGGUGAAAAGAUCCUGGCUCUUGGGGGCCAAGGGCAAGCUAAAAAAAGCAUCCUUUAAGUCAAGAACUGUGUACCAUAUUCUGGUGGGCCCCAGGGCACUGAGGAGAGUAUAGGGGUUAGGGACAGUAGGGUAUAUGUCCAUAACCCAUUUAUUAACUUCCCUUAGGUCUUGUACAGGUUGGUAGUCCCCACUAUUGGGUUUACACACUGGUAACAAAGGUGUGUUCCAGGGUGAGUGACAGGGGCGUAGCACACCUGAGUCCAGGAGACGUCUAAUAUGUGGGGUGAUGCCCGAUUUGGCUUCCAUGGGCAUGGGGUACUGUUUGACUCGGAUGGGGUCAGCCCCAGGCUUUAGCUCUAUGAAGAGGGCCGGCCGAUGUCUAGCCAGCCCCAUUCCUCCUGUUUCUGCCCAGGCUUUAGGGAAUCAGUGAAGCCAGGACUCGAUGUUGAGUUCCUGGGAAGGGGGGGUGGUUUGGUGGAGUAGAUGUUCGUCCUCCAAAUGCAUUGUGAGUAUUGAUAAUGGCAAGGUCUGAGAGCUAGUUACCGUGGGGCCGUCGGGUUGAAAAUAAAUGUGCGCUCCCAUCUUGGUGAGUAAGUCUCUUCCCAACAGAGGGCAAGGGCUAUCAGGGAUGAUGAGGAAUGAAUGAGUUACUUCUACUGUACCUAAGUUAACAGUCCGUUGAGUUGUCCAAGGGUACCUUUUAGUCCCAGUGGCUCCCUGGACCCAGGAAAAUUUGUCUGAAACUUCUCCAUGGGGUCUGGUCAAUACUGAAUGUAGAGCUCCGGUGUCAACCAGAAAUUGUA
rnacentral:lncRNA from 1 species